AGAAUUCGCCCUUAGAGUUUGAUCAUGGCUCAGAGCGAACGCUGGCGGCAGGCCUAACACAUGCGAGUCGAGCGCCCAGCAAUGGGAGCGGCAGACGGGAGAGUAACACGUGGGAACGUACCCUUCAGUACGGAACAACCAAGGGAAACUUUGGCUAAUACCGUAUACGUCCGUAAGGAGAAAGAUUUAUCGCUGAAGGAUCGGCCCGCGUCUGAUUAGCUAGUUGGUGGGGUAAUGGCCCACCAAGGCGACGAUCAGUAGCUGGUCUGAGAGGAUGAUCAGCCUCACUGGGACUGAGACACGGCCCAGACUCCUACGGGAGGCAGCAGUGGGGAAUAUUGGACAAUGGGCGAAAGCCUGAUCCAGCCAUGCCGCGUGGAUGAUGACGGCCCUAGGGUUGUAAAGUCCUUUCGACGGGGAAGAUAAUGACGGUACCCGUAGAAAAAGCCCCGGCUAACUUCGUGCCAGCAGCCGCGGUAAUACGAAGGGGGCUAGCGUUGCUCGGAAUCACUGGGCGUAAAGCGCACGUAGGCGGCUUUCUAAGUCAGGGGUGAAAUCCUGGAGCUCAACUCCAGAACUGCCUUUGAUACUGGAGAGCUUGAGUUCGGGAGAGGUGAGUGGAACUGCGAGUGUAGAGGUGAAAUUCGUAGAUAUUCGCAAGAACACCAGUGGC
rnacentral:rRNA from 1 species